GCCUCCUUAGCUCAGCUGGUAGAGCGCGUCACUUGUAUCUUCUCGUCGAAGUGUGGAUGACGAGGGUCAGUCGUUCGAGUCGGCUAGGGGGCA